AGCGGGGCUGACCGGUCCGCCUCACCGCGUGCACUGGCUCGGUCCCGCUUUUCCUUCCGGGGAACCCCAUGCCCUUCGCUGGGUGUGCGGGGGAACCGGGACUUUUACCUUGAAUAAAUCAGAAAGCUUCAAUUGGGCAUUCGCUUGAACGCUCCAGCAUGGAAUAAUAGAAUAGGACGUGCGUCUCUAUUUUGUUGGUUUCUAGGGACGCCGUA
rnacentral:rRNA from 1 species